GACAGAGGAUGCAAGCGUUAUCCGGAAUUAUUGGGCGUAAAGCGUCCGUAGGUGGCUCUCUCAAGUCUGCGGUCAAAGACCGGGGCUUAACUUCGGAAAGGCAGUGGAAACUGAACAGCUAGAGUAUGGUAGGGGCAGAGGGAAUUCCUGGUGUAGCGGUGAAAUGCGUAGAGAUCAGGAAGAACAUCGGUGGCGAAGGCGCUCUGCUGGACCAUAACUGACACUCAGGGACGAAAGCUAGGGGAGCGAAUGGG
rnacentral:rRNA from 1 species